UACAGAGGUCUCAAGCGUUGUUCGGAUUCAUUGGGCGUAAAGGGUGUGUAGGUGGCGCGCUAAGUCGGGUGUGAAAUUUCGGAGCUUAACUCCGAAACUGCAUUCGAUACUGCCGUGCUUGAGGACUGGAGAGGAGACUGGAAUUUACGGUGUAGCGGCGAAAUGCGUAGAUAUCGUAAGGAAGACCAGUGGCGAAGGCGGGUCUCUGGACAGUUCCUGACGCUGAGGCACGAAGGUCAGGGGAGCAAACGGG
rnacentral:rRNA from 1 species